CCCGGGGCAGCGCUGCCCCGCGGCACAGCCCGCCCGCCGGCCGGGCGGGAGCGCAGCGCAGCCUCCCAGCGCCCCGCUGCUGACGAAGCUUUCAUCGCGCAGCAAGGCGGGCAGGCGAGCCAAACGGGGAAGGAGCGGCCGUGCCAGCCCGGCGGCUCCCCGGCAGCGGGACGCGGCCCCUGCCGAGCGGCAGCGCCGAGGCCGGCAGCCCGCCCUCCGCCGCGGCAGCGCGCCGCCCGGGCCCUGCGCCUCCCACCGCGGAAAGCUGCCGGCGCUUUAGGGCCCCGGAACAGGGAGAAACAGCAACAUGCGCCUAGUCGGAAGAUGGGACGCUACUCCCACCCUUACACGACAUUUUCAACCAAACCCCAGCAGAAUGUUCUCUUCUAGCAAAGGCCACCCACGCCCCAGCCAUUUUGGAUGCAUGAGCAACUCCCACAGGACAUGCACCCCCGUGUGCUGCUGCUGCUUCAGGAACGGCCAAAAUCCCAGACAGGGAGAACUCAGCAACAAAAAUAAAAGAAGCAGGGUUUUGUCAAUUGGUUUCUUUGGCCUGGAGGUUGUGGGGCUUUGUGGUUUUUUAGAGGUUGCUGAUUUUACAUGACGGUAAAGCAGAUUUCCAUCCCAUUCAUCUACGAGCACUCUGUCCUCACAAGAAACCCUGGGGUUGGUACUCCAAAAAAGCAGUACAGGCACAAAAGCCCCUCUGCCUCCCUGAGGGCAGUGGUGUGAUGGGAUGUGUGCUGCAGAUGACAGAAAUAAAUCUGAACAGCCACUGUAACUAAACCCACCUCCCACUUCAAAAGUACUUCAAAAUAUUUCAAUUCAAGUAUUUUAUGCAACCUUACAAUUCAAGGUGGCUUCAGGAUUGACCCCAGGUUUUUGCUGUUUUGUUUUUAGAGUUUAAGGGGGUCAAAGGACCAAAAGCAAAAUGCUCCUCUCUGGCUGCUAUUGAGUAUAAUUUGAACUUGUGCAAAAACUUCAGCUGAUUAGUCACCUAUAUUUAGAAGGAAGUUAUUGUCUGAAAGGGCAACCAUAAUGGAAAUGAUUUUGCACAAGAAGUAGAAAGACCCACUGCGUCUAUUUUUAAUGCAUGCAGAAGGUUCUAUGACCAAAAUAUGGUUUGUCAAAACAGUGAUCAGCAUACAUGCUGAAAACCACAGCUACAGAGCAAAUUGAAAGAUAAAUCAAACCACAUUGUCCAUCUCCCUUGGUUUCAUCAAAAGCAAGCAGGAGAAUAAGUUCAUGAAGGCAAAUCACAGGGUAGCAGUAGGUGCCUGCUGUGGAUCCUGAGGAUGAAUUUGAACUUUGCUCUGACUCUGGGCUGAGGGCUUUCUUCACAAGUGUAAAUGCACAUCUUGGUUUUUAGGGCUGGUGUACCUCAUGGUCCUUAGGCAUCAGCAACAUGCACAGCCUAACCACACCUAGCUGAUGGAUAUCUACAAGAAUGCUAAAGCAGUACUACAGUCACAGUAACUUGGUGUUUGGGACACAGCUGGGCAAACACUGUAAGACACAGGAGGUGUCUGCAGUGUGCCAUGGUCAAGAAUCAGCACCAUGACCUCAUCUUCCUCCAGCACUCAGGCACAGAGGGACCUUAGAUCGGACUAGCAGCCAGUUAAUCACAGCCUGAAUUUCAAUAUUCCUCUCUUUAUAAACUCAUCCAUUGUUUUAAUUACUUAAGGAAGAUGCACAACUUGUGUUUUAAUGCACACAUUAAAGCACAAAUGCUUUAACUCCAAACUUUGACGUACAAACCAUGACUGGAGAUGAGGUGAACUAAAUAGAAACUUUCCACUUGAACAAUGGAUAAAAAAGAUCAAGAAGGUAACUCAGCUGAGUAAUAUCAAUUUUGAAAGGCAAUUCCCAACCCCUGCAAGCAAGACUGAGAACUACUGGAUAGCAGCAUAAGUGCUAGGAUGUCCCUCACCCUGCAACUACACACUGGAAAUGCACACACAAUAUCCACACCACCACUGGCACUGUCCUUUCAUAAUGAAUGAAGAGCUGAGUGGAAAAAAAAAACCAACCAAACAACCAACUCCUCUAUAAAUCAAAUUUACCCAUGCCAGGCAGUAUAAAAAAACAAGAGCAGGUGAUUCCUAUGAUCGUACAACCUCUGGCCAAGACUCAGCAUAGAAGCUACAAGUGAAGACAGUGCAAAGUUGUUUUAAAAAGCCAUAUGACCAUACUGUGCUGAAACAUUUUCUAGCCUAUACAUCAAUUUCACAUAGUAUUACUUUGGCUUCUCUAUUUGCCAAUAAUCUCCAAGAUCUUUAUAUGCUGGCAAUUAUAUUUCCUUCAUUAAUGCCACUCAAGACAUCUGUGUUGCAUUCAGUGCUGUGAGUGGAAUUUGGAAUUAACAGAAAUGUAUCUGCAUCAGAUUCAUGCUGCCCAUGUGGGAAAGCUCACUGACCAUUCACACAGUUUUUGUGGUCUGUGUUAAACACUGUGGUUCAGCAGUUACUUGGCUCACAUUAACAGAGCUGACCAGUUCAGAGAGACUCUGGCCUGCCUAUACAGCUCCUAGUACAUGCCAUAUCCUAGAUAUAUGUUUGGCCCCCUUAGACUUCAUUUAUUUUGAAAUUUAAGUGUCUAGAAAAACUUAUUGAAUAGUUUAUGAAAAAUGGUAUCUCCCAUGCCAGAAAUCUUUCAUCUAUAAGAGAGUAAUAGGAUUAAACAGGAAAUAAAAAGACCAAACAUACCCUGACACACUCACAUCAGAUGUAUGAUGGAAAUUACAUACUCAUCUGUGCUAAAACUUGACAAGAAAAUCUGGAAAAUACUGUUGAAUAUCAUAAUCACUACCUCAGAUGGCCUGAGGAAUCCACCACCACCACGCUGGUGGUAUUCUGUGGUACUUCUCCUUUGUUCACAGGAAAAUGGAAGUCCUUGCACAGACGAGUCAUCAUUUGUCAAAGCAUUCAUCACAGAUGCUUAACUGCACAACAGAGCUACCCAGCCUAAAGGCUAUCUAUCCAUUGCUGUCCUCAUCCAAGCCAGGACAGCCCAGUUUUAUGCUUGAUCUGCUCUCAUGAGUUAGUUUAGGGAGCUAACCUAGCAGAAGGCUACUCCUGCCCAAAAAAAAAAAAAAAAUUGUAUGCCAAACUCUGACUGGGUGCCCUGUUAAGACAGAGAAGAUCCUGUCUCAGGGCAAAGUAGGAGGCAGUCUGCCACAGGAAGCAGGACCUCCUGCUCUGGGAGCUGGCACUUAUAGGCUCACCCUGUCCUGAUCUUGGCAUGUUCUGCUCCAGAACACACAGAGAGAUCAGAAAAGCUCUGCUUAAGAUUCAGAAAGAAGAUAAAAAGUACAGGUAACUAGAAGUGUGCUCUAUCCUGCCUGAAAGGAUGGGGGGAGGAUUGAUAGUGAUGGGGGACAGCAGAAGAGCACAAAAGAGCACACACUAUAAAAUAAAGGGAAACGCUCUUCCAGAAUGAGAUGGAAAAUGAAGGAAGCCAGGGUGAAGGGGGAGCAGGAAGGGAUCUAAACAGUUACAAAGAAAAAAUAGAGACAAUUUUUAAACUCAUGAUAGAAAAAUAUCUACAGCUUUAUAGAAAUGGAUGUAAUUUUUACAAUUUAAGCUAAAAGGCAAAUAAACAAAAGAUUUAAAGUAAAAGGUGAGAGAGAGACCUAUCCUGAGCAGGUUUCCAGUAGAUGCUGACACCAUGUAUUAUGAAGCCCUGGAUUUUUAAGGGGAAGUUGUCUGGGAAAUUAUUUUAAUUCAGAGCAAACCAAGUCUAUGACCAGGGCAGACCUACAAGAAAACAAGCAUCAGCACCCUUGGCUACCCAGACCAAAGAGACAGAACCAACAAGCUCUUCAGCUGACUAUUGGAAGAAAGGGAUGGCCCUUUGUGGAUGGCACAUGUAAACCACUGCUAAAUAGGCAUCCUAAACACAUUUUCCAAGCAUCUGUUUGGAUACAGCCUCUGCUGCUGGCCUAAAAUGGCAGGACUGGAAGCAGAGUGGAAACCACAGCCUCCAAAUGCUGCUCAGCACUUCUAAUCACAGGAUAACCCAGUGCUGUGGAGAGGAAGAAUUUCUGCUCAGUUUAAGGCAGAAGUCAGAACUCCUCCCAGGAAGCAGCACCUUCACUUCAUUCCCACAACCCACUACCCAAAGCUGAUUCUCAAAAACUUUUCUGGGGGUUGGAGAUUUGGUCAUUUUCAGGUUUUUGUUUGUUGGUUUGGAGGGGGUGGUUGAGGUUUGGGGCUGUGGGAUUGUUUUGAGGGGUUUUUUAUAUUUUAUUUUUCUUUCUUGGUCCACUAUCAGGGUGUAAUUAAGGUUCAAAGUCAAGAAAGAAAGGGAAUCAGCACUGUGUCAGCAAUUAGCUCAACAUCCUGUUAAUAUCUACCCAUAAUCUCUCCCAGUCUAGGCGUGUAAUCUACCUAAGAGGUAAAUUAAUUUUCCAGUGGUUGCCUCCAUGGGUUACCAAUCUCUAUUGCUUGUUACACAUUUAGUUACACAGGCAUAAUGUCUCCUAAGAAUACAUAACCAGGUAUUACACUUUCCUUCCAUGAACCCCAUUCUCUUCAUAGUAGAGCUUGUACCUCCACAUGAGGAAUAUAAGCUUAGUUGGAAAUGAGAAGCCCUAUUUCCCCAUGCACUAGAACAUCCCUUACUUUACAUAUUUAAAGCAAAAUACAACUGAAUACAAGCAGCUGGAAUUAACCUCAAAAGGUUUUGGGUUUUUUUUCCCCUUUCCAGGGGAAAAAAACUUUUACUUGUUAACUUUUACUUGUUUAGCUUGUUAACAAAUCAAGCUAGUUUCACAGUCUCUAGGUGUCAGUUCUCAGUAAAAAAAAAAAAGAUUAUCAAGUUAUAGUCACAGCUUUUAACAAGUUCUCAAAGUUCCAUAAUACCUCAUAAAACAAGUAUCACUUACAUCCCCAUCACCCAGCACAGUAUUGAACAUGUGCCACCACAAGAAAUGCACUCCAUUUCCCUUACAGCAGUGUUCAGUCAAGUCAAACUGACAUGCAAGAAUAUGGCAAACAUUAGCGAGUCUCGCCUUGCAGACGUCAUGAGGGUCUUCACCUGCCACUGUGGUAGGAACGUUCUGGCCAUGCUGGUAGCCACAAUGAUUGGGAGGCAGAUAGGCAAUUGCUCUCCCAAUGUCUUGGAAAACAGGGAUUAACAUCAAAUCACUAGAAAGAGGUGACCUAAAUGCUAAACAACAUCCUACCUCCUCGCUGCUGACAGGACUAUUCAUUUCAGAGUGGACAGGCUCUAUUUUACCAACAGUCUUCUCCGUUUAUAUACACACACUCCCUAACACACACACAUGCACACACAUGGUUCUCAUUAUCAGACAAUGGCUGAAUGAUCAAAGGUUAAGAAUUAUUUCUCUUUUUGCCUUGUUGAUGGUUUAAAACAAAAAUCAAUUCAAUGUAUAUAUCAUUUAUAGAAAUUGUUUUUAACUCAGCUGUUCCACACAGGGAUUGGGAAGGUAAUGGCUCUGCUGCAAAAAGAGGGAAUAAAAGCUCCCAGGCUCCCAAAGGAUGAUUUAUGCCACACUACCCAAAUUUCAAAGUGAGGUUUCUCUUGCACACAAUAGUUAAUAAUCUGGAUUCUUCUUUGUGGCACUAUUAUUUCAAUGACAGAAUUUACUGGCAGUAUAAAAUGUAGGAGAAUAUUUUAUUCUGCAUAUAUUUUGCACCUCCAUCUCUUUUGCAUCUUAUUUUUCUUUCAGUACAUAGAGUUUAAGGCUUCGCAGCAUUUACAAUCCCUUCUUUUAUUUGCCCAACACAAUAGGUACCCAAGUGCAGUAAAAAAUAAAUAAGUACAAUUAGAAUAGAAGGGCAUUUUCUCCUCAGCUACACAUCAGGCACCUGAAUUUGGGUGAAGUCUCUGUACUUGUAGAGUCAAGACUUGAAUUGCUGGUCAUGGACAGGUCACUGACAAUAUGGAGAGCAGUGCUGUGUUGGGAUAGUGAGGAAGAGCCAAGUCCAAGAUUUACCCAGCAGAGGUCAGGCUAAACCAAAACUUUACUGUCAUUAUGGGUCCUAAGAAAUUGUCUCUUGGGUCCUUCCCACUGUUUCCCCUCAAAAUCAAAAAACAAGUAUUUUUACAAGUAUUUUAGAUACCUAAGAAUUACUCUGAAAAUCAUUUUAAAACAGCAAAGACUUAAGUUUGUUGGACAAAAUACCCUUAAAAAAGACUAAGACAAAAGCAUCUGACACCAAACAUUUGAAAAACUCAAUAUUAUUGUUGGGCAAAAAUGCAUUAAUUAAAUGAAAUAAGAAUGAAAAUCCACUGUAGCAACAUAAAGAAAACAUUGUGCAUGUUCUCCAAGAGUAUUUCAAGUGAAUUUUGUGCUGAUACACAAGGCAUAGUAAAUGCUUCUAAAAAUACACAUUAAUAUAAGUAUUCGUAAUUACAAGGGGAAUCACCAAGGGUCUCAAGAGUUUGGGAGUUAUCUGUCCACAAAAUGAAAACAAAAGCAUCAUGCAUGUGAUUUAGCAUUUAGCACAAAAAGCAGAAAACACUUAAAACAAAACUCAUGGAGAUAGAAUAAAGUAAGUCUGCAUAAUGUGCUCAUAUGCAUGACAAAGAAUCUACACAGCUUUCAAAUAAAAAUGUGAAAAUACUAUAAAAACACAACAAAGGAGAUGCAGUGUUCAGUAUCCCAGUGAGUUACAUUGAAACAAACUAAAUAGUAGAGAAUGUACAAAAAAUGAACAGAAAAGUUAAAAAGUGCAGCAUCAAACAUGUCUGUGUAUUUGUGAUAUGUACACAUGCACACAAACAUGCAUUACUUGUUAAGUAAACUUUUCUUCUACAGUCAACAUAAGUGUUGGGGGGGAGGUCUGAAGCACGUGAAUAAGAUUUUAGCAAAGGUAAGAUGUUCACUAAUAUUUCUUAGGACAGUUAAUACUAGAACAUUGCAGACAAUGCUAAUUACACCCUGAAUAUUGUUUGAAUCAAGGGAUUUGACACAUCAUCCAAGACUGAGUAUGGUAAGCAGCAACACUGCAUUUCACAGGGGAAGACAUCAGAGGUGUUACGCACUCAUUACCUUAAGGAAGCCAAGCGCCCUAAGUUUGACCUAAGCAGUUGGUAGGCAGUGAGCUGUUUAUGCUUAAAAUGCCUAAGUUUACAAUCCAAGGCAAUGGACUUUACAGUCUUUCUUGUUGCAGCACAGACACCCGUACUCUAGGUUAUGCUCUAGUCUUCUUUUGUUGCUGCUUACCAGAGAAUGUCAAGAUUGGUGGAGGCAACUCUGGGCCUCUCCCCUUGCCCUGCUCUGUGGUCUCAGAAAGGUUUGAUUACAACUGUCUCCCUGAAGAUGCAUGCAGAAGUCUUAUCCCACUACAUACCUUUUUUUUUCCUAAUACCCAACUCAGAGCUUGUGCACUGUCCUCUAAAGGCAUGCUUAAAACUGCUUUAUGGUCUCUGCGCUGAGGACAGUUUAUUUCCAAGCAGAUCACAGGCUUUGAGAUGCAAUUCUAUUCCUCUUGUUCCACAUUACGCGGACACACACAGUUCUAAGGUUUUCAAUUACAAUAUUUACAGCACAGCUAGAAUUGGCUCGGUAUUUACACUUUUCUGAAGGGCUGCUUUCAAGCCUUGGCUGCACAGAAAGUUUAAAAGAAAAUGUCCCACCCCAAUGGAAAUACCAAGUUCCUAAAUCACUGCUCUACUUUUGUAGGACACAGAGUUUUAUCCACAUAACACAUGCACAAACCUCUCAGCUCUGAUUAAUAAAGAAAAUAUGGUCACAUAAAAGGUACUGCAGGGAUGCCAGAAAUUGUUGUUUUCUAAGUAGAAUCCACAUUAAACGUGUCUUCUUUAGCAUGCAACUUCUGCAAGGAUUUAAAAGACUACACCUGAUAUCCUAGAGAAGUAAAUUAGUGCUAUAUUUAUUAAUUCAUCAGCAGUUUCAACUGAGGAUAAAAUGAAAUACAAAUGACUACUAAAUGCUACCAUUACUCUUUAAAUACCUCUCUGCAAAGCCAGAAUCAAUUACAGUGAUUGCAAAAGCUGGAGCAGCCUCCCUCAUUACCUGAAAACUACUCAAACUUGGGAUGAAGUCAAAAGAGAGACACAAUUCAUGUCAUGAAAACAAGACAGACAACACCAGUGCUCCUCCAGACAUGGCUCAUACAUCUGUGCAUCCUGCAGAAAAUUUUUCUUCUAUCUGCUAUGCCACCCACCCUUGUUCCAUCUCACAGCUAGUGACUAAUUACACUUCAGUGCAGCAAUUCAUCCAAGUUGGACAUUUGAAACAAGAAAGACAAGAAUCUUCUGCUUUGCUUUUUAAGCAAAAAAAAAGUUUUACCACUGGUAAAACUGAAAGUAAUAAAGCCACAUGGUAUCAGAAGGUAGUAUUUCGGUAUUUUUGACUGCCUUGUGGUACAGAGAAAAAAACCCAACCUGGUAUGCAUCUUCAUAUUAAGUACUUAGCUGUCAUUUAUCACAUCAAUGUUCAAUGAAAGUUUCUUCGACAGAAGGGAAACACUAUUCAAAUCCAAACCUGUAACACACAUGUUGUAUUAUAUGUGUUAUAGGUUUGGAUUUGAAAAGUGUUUCCCUUCCAUCAAAGAAGCAACACUGUCCUGCAGCAAUGUGUGCUGAUAUCCCAGCUUAGUACUCACUGCACUUUGCCAGCCAUGGAAAUGUCUAAUUGCAUUCUGCUUUUUCAGUCCAGAACUCCUUGUACUGCUGCUAUCACCACUUUGCUGUGUUCCUCCAUGCUCGUUUUGACAGCUCUUGCUAAAGACUAGCCAAAAUGUAAGCCUGGUUUAGACAGGCAAAUCACCUCACUCAUGCAAAGGCAAUCUUCAAGCCUGCCUCAGUAAAUUAAACUUACAGUUAUAAGAAAAUAAUGAGAAGCAUUCCCAUGGGCUCAUCUGAAACGUGGUGCUAGCUAUGAGAUGCAGCCCUGAAUAAUUUCAGCACAAGUCCACCUCCAGAGACAAAAUACACAGGAUUUGAGAACAGGGCAGUGUUUUCCCCUUCUGCUUUGUUUAUUCUUGCCAAUGUAACUACAUACUUUCUUGGGUCAAGAAACUUCAACAAGUCUUGAAACUGCAUGAACAAUGCCAACAAAGACACAGAAGUGUUAUGCAAGCAAUAAAAGAAUUAUUUUUUGCAACUAAAGCAAUAAAUGGCUAGGUUUAACAAAAUACUCUUCUAGGUAAGAUCAUUAAUGACAAAAUGAGUAGUCCUUGAAUUAAGAGGGCAAUUUACUUUAGCAUGGGCUUCAAACUUUCACUUGAAGCCAGUGUGAUUUGCAUGUAGUACUCCCCAAGUAAAUUAAUAGAAUUUACUUUGAUUUAAAAAGCAUUGUUUGAGGACAAAGAUUUAACUCCUCUUGAGAGGAAUGGCAUGGUUCACAUGGAAGAGGGUGGACUACAAUCACCUGGGAUCCAUUCCAAUGUGAAUUUUUCCUAUGAUUUUGAUACUCAAGGUGUUGCGUCAGAUGCCAGUCUGUACAGGCUAUUGGGAUGACAGGAGACAGGGUCUGGAAGAGCCUGCACACUCUUACUGAAUGCAUUAAAAGUUCUCAUGCCAAACUUAUGCAUGUCACACAACACUCAACAGCAACCAGUAUCAGUCUCAAAUUUGCCAAUUCAGAUAUACCUGUAUCCUAUGACUCAUGCUAUCAUCUUGGAUGUAUUAGCAACAGCUGUUCAAGUAACAAAAAGUGUAAAACGUGGCUUUAAUGCCAUUUGCCUAUGUAUGUUUUAUAGAAUAUUUAUAAUGAAAAAUCAUAAGUCAGAUCCAAGUAGUGUUGUUAUCUUUCCUAAUGCAUUGUUAGAUUUUGCUAGUGGUGCUACAGAGUUUGUGCAUGUUUGGGAUUUUCUCCUUUGUUUUGCUGGCAGGACCAGGGAAGUCCCAGGGCUGAGACUGGUGGAGAGGCAGUGUUCCCAAGGACUGUACAAUAGAGCAGUGUUUCCUAAAGUAGGUUAUGUGAAGGACGAGCAGAAAGGCAUCAGAGGGAGGGGUGACUGUGGAAAAUAUGGAUGAUGUCAUCCUCAGCAUUAGCAGAUCUUUGAAAAUACAUGGCAGCGAUAUACUGUCCCAGUAGAGGAUAAGGAGCUAUGCUUCCAAAAGUUGGGAAAGUGCAGACCUAUCUCAGUGUUUCCUUGUUUCACUGA